rnacentral:lncRNA from 1 species
UUAAUUAAUAGACUAGUAUAUUAUUGUUUUAUGAAAUAUAAGUUUCUAUACCUAAUUAAAAACACAUUACAGAAUUGAAAGGGACUUCACCCUUAGCCAUCCCUCUCAAAAGGAACUUCACCUCAGAACCUCCAUCAACCUCCGACUCUGCCAUCGUCCCGCCGUCAACCUCCGCAGUAGAACCUCCAACUCUAUAACAGCUACGGUCGUCAAAAACCACCUCCUUCUACAGCAGCCAACAACAACCACCAUCCCACCGUCAACAAAAUCAUUCCAGCUCUUCGACUAGUUCUGAGAUUUGAUUUUCUUUUUUCUUCACCCAUAAACUUUAUCUCCACCACUAGAAACAACCACCUCUUUCUAUUAAUCCAAGCUCCGCAUUUUCAAAUAGUCCCAAAAUUCUAGGAUUUUUUCUCUACUAAGCUCGACUACCACUUCUUGUUCUCACAGAGCCCUAAUUCUAGGUUUUUGCUUGACUCUCGCGAAUUUUCUGAUUUACAUUCUUCUUUUAUUUUUUUGCAAUUUCUCAAUAGUUGAUCCAUAAUUUGCAAAUUUCAUUAGUGAGGAAGAAAUUACAACUGGUAGUUGUAGGAUAAAUCGCAGUAAGUUUUUUUAAACUCUCUUUAUUUAAAUUUUAGAUAACCACAUUCGAUAGUUGUGUUUUUGAAUGAAGAUUUUAGUAUUAAUGUUCGUUAUUAUCCGAUUCAACUUAUUUUUAUUUUUGGGAGUAUUUGAGCGACAUAAUGUGAUUGAAUGGAGAUUAAACACACUGGUGCAUGUCUUCUUAUUAUGAUUGAAAUUGUGGAUUUCAUUGAAAUUAUGCUUUGCAUUGGUACAAUUGAUAGGUUUUGAUUCUAUAUUUUGUUAGAUAUUUCACUGUUUGAUGCAGUUGUCUUUAUUUAAAAAAAUUUCUUGUUCAACUUAUUAAACUCACAGCUUUAAAGCUGUGAGUUUUUUCUUCUGAAGCUAUUAAUAUAAGUUAGAGUUCAAUUAGGAUUUUGUCAUACAAUAAUUCCUCCCUUUUUGUUCUUGAUAUUAUGAGGAAAACAGGAAAUUUCAUCAAUAUUUAUGUUCAUAUCCUUAAAAUUCAUUUCAGAAAUAAUACACAAAUCAUAUUUUUUGUAUUGUGCAGAGAACUGCUUUGGCAGACUUGCGAGUCCCGUAACUCAGCUAUAUUUUCUGUAUAACCUUAGCUUUUGGUGGUUUAUUGGAGCUUGAACAUCCAAGUUUGUGCAGGUACAAUUUGUUUUGCUAUGUGAAAAUAACUUAAUUUUCGAUAGUAUGAAAAUGGCUAGUGAUAUUUUAUUUGUGGCCAAUUUCUAAUUAGAUAUUCCUCUGGGAAUCUUCUUUUUGUGUCUAUAGAGGUAUGUUCUUUAUUAUUUCCUUGGUAUUUAACAAUCUUUGAUAUUUUGUGGAGCUUCUGUUUGUGUUCUUUAUUUUAUCCUUGUUGAUUUUUCAAUUAGGUCCAGUCCAAUCGAAUGGAGUUAUUUGUUGUUUCAUUGGUAUUUAACAAUCCUUGUUGUUUGUGUCUAUAGAAGUAGUUAUUUGUGUUUAAAAAUUUCCAUAUGGAAAUCAAAUUGUAGCAGAAUUGUCGCACGAAACUGCUAUUCAUAAGAGACAAAAAGUACAUGUAAAUAUAAAUAGAAAAUCAAUUGCAUCAGACAUAUAUGGAUUCCACCAUAUUAAUAGACCUAAAAUAAUAUUUACAAACUUAUUUUCAGUAUGCAUUUUCUCAUAAAACUCCAGUACCUUAUUACUUGUUUUUUCACAAUGAAUUGCGUCUUCCUGGUAGGGACAAUUCCACUCAGUUCCUAGAUGCAUUUUCAAAUUGCAAGUCAGAUUCCACUAAGUUUUAUCCUCAAGGCCUCAAAGUCAGAAUUUCUUCUCCUCCUUCCUUGUGUUGUCGCCUCUACCACUUCUAUCUUUCUCCCAAAGUCAGAAUAGUCUAGUAAUUUUUACACUUUGCCUAUAUUCAAUUUUAAGAGAACUAGACUUGUUACUUAUUCAUAAUUCAGACAAAAUAUUUAUCCUGAGUAAUGCUAUAAAGACUCAACUUUUCUUGUUUACAUGAACUUAAUUUCCUUCUCUUUUCCCCCCUAACCUGCUUUUAUUGAAGUCUCAAUAAACAAAUCUCAUAGCUCACAUAGGCCAAAUAGCUGAGCACAAGAACAGCUAGGAAAAGAGAGGCAAAAUUCUGAAAAUGAUUGAAGUUCCAUUUACACUUAUACUGCUAUUGUUAUACAAGUAAAGAAAAUCCUCAAUAACCUUCUCAACAUAUACAGCUGUGUAUAUCCACAACAUACUAAUUGAUACUAAAUAUUUAUAGUGAUAUCACCAAAUUCAACAUGAUUCACAAAUCAGAAGUAUGGGGACAACAUCAAAAACUCUUAAAUUAUUAAUUCUCUAAUCUCCAAGAACUAUUGACACGAUAUCUUAGACCGAAUUCUCUUGAAGAGUAAUGACUUUAUUUAUCUUAUUUUGCAGGUGGAGUGGAUCACGAAAUGGAAGAUGAUGGCAAUGAAGAACUAGACCUUACUUGAGAUGAAUUUUGAAUUGCUAUGAUGAAAGUUCUAGGAAUCUUUUGUUAUCAACAUUUUGAAACUUACUCUCUAGAAAUGUAUUAAACUUAUGCACUUGGGGUAACGUUUGCUUUAUGAAUAUUAUUAGCUUGAUGGAUUAUUUAUAUGAUUAAUAGUUUUAUUUUGUGAUUUAUUUAAAUUCUAG